rnacentral:lncRNA from 1 species
CUCAGCCGCGCCUCAUCCGACCUUCCGCCGUAGUCGCCCUCAACCGCGCCUCAUCCCACCUUCCAUCGAAGUCGCCCUCAGUCGCACCUCAUCCCACCUUCUGCUGCAGUCACCCUUAGUCAUGCCUCAUCCUAUCUCCAACCGCGACUCUCGGCGUUCUCGCUACAGUUCCUCGUCCCACCUUCCGUGCAGCCGCCCUCGGUCGUGCCUCAUCCCGCCGCAGUCACCCUCAGCCGCGCCUCAUCCCACCUUCCGCCGCAGUCAUCCUCAACCACACCUCAUCCCAUCUUCAGCCGUGACCCUCAGCGUUCCCUCCCAACCGAGCGAUUGUCCCUUCCCCCUCCAACCAAGCAAUCGCCACCAGCAUCUCAUCCUAGCCGUGCAACCGCCUCUUCCCCCUCCAGCCGCGACCCUUGGCAUUCCCUCCCAACCGAGCAAUCAUCUCUUUCCCUCCAAGCAAGCGAUCGUUGCUGCCUCCUAGUCACGCCACCAUCGCUGCUCCCAACCCUCGGCGAUGUUGCUGCCA